ACUUAAGUCAAGACCUGACAGGGUAUUAAAGACACAAUGAUGGCAGGAAUAUAUAAGACUCAGUCAAGAGAAAUGAUUCAUAUGAAGAUCAGGAUCCAGAAUAUGUUUUACCAGAGGAAUUUACUAAAACAGAAGCUUCCCUCUCUUACUUAUCAGUUGGUGCUUCAUCUGUGUGUUUGCAGUGCUGAUAGAUAAAGUGUUUCUGCAGCUCACAGGUGUUGUUGGUGGUUCUGUUGUUCUGCCGUGUUCAGCUGAACAUGAUCAUGAACUUCAAGACACUGAAGUGUUCUGGAGACACAAUAAUAGCAAGAUUGUGCAUGAUAUAAUUAAAGGCAGUCAAACAGAGACACAGGACUCACUGUACAAAAACAUAAUUGAAAGUUUCCCUGAUGAGUGUCCGAGAGGAAACUUCUCCAUCAAACUCAACGAUCUCACUCACGCUCACGCAGGAAAAUACAUCUGCUACAUCUCAAGCUCAUCUGAUUCUCAACAGAAGACUGUAGAGCUGAUCAUCAACGAACCAACAGCAGAAAAAGGAAACAAAACCAAUGAUCAAGAAAACCCAAACCAAGAAGAAACGGUACUAAAUGUAGUGACAUCAUCGCAUUUUCAACGGGUUACCAUUGUAGUAUCUGUAUUAUUAUUAUUAUUAUUAUUAAUCGUGCUUAUUGUCUGUUUAAUCAGAUUUUACUUGUGAGAGAAAAAAAAGCUCCUUUAUUCACUUCAGCCAUGAUUAAAGAACAAACAACAGUGUAAACAGGCCUAAAAAUUGCACUUUACACUUUCUCUGACAGAAAAGUUACAUUUAUGUAAAUAAUAUUUCAAACUGUAUGUGUUUUUUGUUUGUUUUUGGCAUGUACACUGCUAUCUUUUUAUUGUAUAACAGAAUGAGAUCUUGAAAAACUUAGAUCUUGAAAUUUGUAUUUAUAGUUCAGUGACUGAAUCGAUCAGUAUGAUGCUGCCUUAACAUUUCUGUACCACAAGUGCUCUUUCUGGUUGUGUUUUCCAGAAUAAAUGUAUUUUGUAUUUGUUAUGUACUAUUUUAUAUUUGUUAAAUUGUUGCUGCACAUCAUGUAAAGGGUUGCAGAAAAUAAA